rnacentral:rRNA from 1 species
GAACGAGAAAGUGGAGCAAUCCAUGAGUAAAGUGGCGACCGGGUGAGUAACACGUGACUAACCUACCUUCGAGUGGGGGAUAACCUCGGGAAACCGAGGCUAAUACCGCAUAACAUCGCAAGAUCAAAGCAGCAAUGCGCUGGAAGAGGGGGUCGCGGCUGAUUAGCUAGUUGGCGGGGUAACGGCCCACCAAGGCGAAGAUCGGUAGCCGGCCUGAGAGGGCGCACGGCCACACUGGAACUGAAACACGGUCCAGACUCCUACGGGAGGCAGCAGUGGGGAAUUUUGCGCAAUGGGGGAAACCCUGACGCAGCAACGCCGCGUGGAGGAUGAAGGCCUUAGGGUUGUAAAGCUCUUUCGGCGGGGACGAUGAUGACGGUACCCGCAGAAGAAGCCCCGGCUAACUUCGUG